CAUAAACUUCUUCUCUGUAAAGGCAUCAUAAAAGCAUCUGACAUGUUUUUAAGCAAUGUUUAAUCAAAUAUAAAUCUUGGGGUUGAGCGAUUCUUAUUUUAAAUAUCAACAGUCCCUUUUCAUUUAGAAUUUAUCACUCCACAACAAUUGAUAGAUUAUAUGAACCUUAUGAAUCAAACACUUGACCAUGAAAAAGAGGAGAAGAGAGGCAAUCUGAACCAGCUUUACUGGCUAACACUCACCAACAUUUGCAACAUCGAGUGGAUCCCCUAAGAGCACAUCUGUCUAUCUAAAUGCUUCAACUGCAAUGAAGUACUUGUUCCCAUGAAAAAUGGGAAAAAAGAAAAUAGGCAUUCCAUACAAAGAAUGAAGGGAGAAUUACCCUAAGAGCACA
rnacentral:misc_RNA from 1 species